CCUACGGGGGGCUGCAGUGGGGAAUAUUGCACAAUGGGGGAAACCCUGAUGCAGCAACGCCGCGUGAGCGAUGAAGGCCUUCGGGUCGUAAAGCUCUGUCCUAAGGGAAGAAUACUGACGGUACCUUAGGAGGAAGCCCCGGCUAACUACGUGCCAGCAGCCGCGGUAAUACGUAGGGGGCUAGCGUUAUCCGGAAUUACUGGGCGUAAAGGGUGCGUAGGCGGCCCUUCAAGUCAGAGGUGAAAGGGUACGGCUCAACCGUAGUAAGCCUUUGAGACUGUAGGGCUUGAGUGCAGGAGUGAAGGGUGGGAUUCCCAGUGUAGCGGUGUAAUGCGUGGUUAUUGGGAGGAACACCAGUUGCGAAGGCGGCUCUCUGGGCUGUAACUGACGCUGAGGCACGAAGGCGUGGGGCGCGAACUGGAUUAGAUACCCUGGUAGUC
rnacentral:rRNA from 1 species